GACGAGCUGGAGGAAGGUGGUGAUGACGUCAAGUCCGUACGGCCUUUAUGCCUGGGGCGACACACGUGUUACAAUCCCCGCGACAGCGCGCUGCGACACCGCGAGGUGAAGCUAAUCGCUUAAAAGCGGGGUCAGUUCAGAUUGCAGGCUGCAACCCGCCUGCAUGAAGCCGGAAUCGCUAGUAACGGCGGAUCAGCUACGCCGCCGUGAAUACGUUCCCUGGCCUUGUACACACCGCCCGUCAAGCGAUGGGAGCUGGAAGCACCCGAAGUCGGUGCGCCAACCCGCAAGGGAGGCAGCCGCCGAAGGUGAGUCUGGUGACUGGCGCUAAGUCGUAACAAGGUAGCCCCACGGGAACGCGGGGCUGGAUCACCUCCUUU
rnacentral:ncRNA from 1 species